UCCGUAGGUGAACCUGCGGAGGGAUCAUUACCGAGUGUGGCGCUCCGGCGCCUCCCUCCAACCCCAUGUCGAAACGACUCUGUUGCCUCGGGGGCGACCCGGCCUUCGGGCGUCGGGGCCCCCGGUGGACACCUUCAUAACUCUUGCAUCUCUUGCGUCUGAGUGAUACAUACAAUCAAUCAAAACUUUCAACAACGGAUCUCUUGGUUCUGGCAUCGAUGAAGAACGCAGCGAAAUGCGAUAAGUAAUGUGAAUUGCAGAAUUCAGUGAAUCAUCGAAUCUUUGAACGCACAUUGCGCCCCCUGGCAUUCCGGGGGGCAUGCCUGUUCGAGCGUCAUUACACCACUCAAGCCUGGCUUGGUAUUGAGCGCCGCGGCCUGCCCGCGCGCUCCAAUGUCUCCGGCUGAGCCGUCCGUCUCUAAGCGUUGUGAAUAGCGAUCGCUUGCGAGGCCCGGGCGGUUCGACGCCGUUAAACCCCCCAUUUUCUAUGGUUGACCUCGGAUCAGGUAGGGAUACCCGCUGAACUUAAGCAUAUCAAUAAGCGGAGGAAA
rnacentral:rRNA from 1 species